UACGGAAGGCAGCAGUGGGGAAUAUUGCACAAUGGGCGAAAGCCUGAUGCAGCUAUGCCGCGUGUAUGAAGAAGGCCUUAGGGUUGUAAAGUACUUUCAUCGGGGAGGAAAAAACAAACUAAUAAUUUUAUUUCUUGACGUUACCCGAAAAAGAAGCACCGGCUAACUCCGUGCCAGCAGCCGCGGUAAUACGGAGGGUGCUAGCGUUAAUCAGAAUUACUGGGCGUAAAGAGCACGUAGGUGGUUUUUUUAAAGUCAGAUGUGAAAUCCCUGGGCUUAACCUGGAACUGCAUUUUGAAACUGAAAUAACUGAGUAUCGUAGAGGGAGGUAGAAUUCUAGGUGUAGCGGUGAAAUGCGUAGAUAUCUGGAGGAAUACCUGUGGCGAAAGCGGCCUCCUAAACGAAUACUGACACUGAGGUGCGAAAGCGUGGGGAGCAAACAGGGAUUAGGAUACC
rnacentral:rRNA from 1 species